rnacentral:rRNA from 1 species
GACGAACGCUGGCGGCGUGCUUAACACAUGCAAGUCGAACGGAAAGGCCCUGCUUUUGUGGGGUGCCCGAGUGGCGAACGGGUGAGUAACACGUGAGUAACCUGCCCUUGACUUUGGGAUAACUUCAGGAAACUGGGGCUAAUACCGGAUAGGAGCUCCUGCUGCAUGGUGGGGGUUGGAAAGUUUCGGCGGUUGGGGAUGGACUCGCGGCUUAUCAGCUUGUUGGUGGGGUAGUGGCUUACCAAGGCUUUGACGGGUAGCCGGCCUGAGAGGGUGACCGGCCACAUUGGGACUGAGGUACGGCCCAGACUCCUACGGGAGGCAGCAGUGGGGAAUAUUGCACAAUCGGCGGAAGCCUGAUGCAGCAGCGCCGCGUGUGGGAUGACGGCCUUGGGGUUGUAAAGCGCUUUCGCCUGUGACGAAGCGUGAGUGACGGUAAUGGGUAAAGAAGCACCGGCUAACUACGUG